rnacentral:lncRNA from 1 species
AGGUACUCCAUUGUCUGAUGGAUCUGAGAACGCUGUCUGGGCUUGGUACCAAGAGCUGGUAUUUCACAGCAGCGACCGCCUCACAGACGAGCUGUGGGAAGCAGGAGGGAGACUCUCUCUUAGGGUGCCACUACUAUGGAGACACAGCUGGGCUGAACAAGAUUUGCUUCAAACGACAACAAGAGAGACAGAAAGUAUCUGGUUCAACCGCUGCCCGAGCAGGCAGGCACCAGAAGAGCUAGCAGCCAAUCCGGCCAUGCUCGAAGCCAGCUCUGCAGCUCAGCCAAUCAGUGACAUCAUUGCUUUCUUUAGCUUGCCCAUGGUGAUGUGAAGAUGAGAAGAAAUAGCAAGGCCCAACCAGUUCUUCAUCUGGAGACAGUUCAACGUUCUGCAAACCAGGACAGUACUACAGAAGGACUAAGUAUAUAGGAAACUUGACUUAUUUAAAUAAGGCAGUGAAAAAAAUAGAAUAUGGGGAGUAAAACAACCUCUGAAGCUAAGUCUGCAUAUAUAAUAACUGGAUCUUCAGGAAUUUUACUGGGAUAAUUAUCCAAAUAAAUUGCAAGCAUUCUAUCCAAAUGGAGCUCUUUCUGAGAUGAAGAGAAUUCUCAAUGUCAAGAUUUGAACAAGAAGAGAAUGGAAUACACAAUAUGGACAUCCAUAAAAAUUCAUCAGAGAGCAUUUUACUACUGAGCUGCAAAGGUAGGAAAAAUAAAUUUUUUUUGGUUAGAAAAUAUACUUCUUUCAUCUGCGUUUCAAUAAUUUAUUCCCCUUGUUAGAUAUACAUGGAAUUGAUAUUGCUUAUUCUGACUAAGUGAAAAGUGUUAUUUCUACUUACUGCUCAAUUAGAAACAUGUAGUGUUUAAUUGUCAGUUUGAAUUUUUCUUUCAUACUAUUACAGUUUAUAUUUUACUAUAGGCAGAAUUUCCUCUUUAUCCUAAAUUUUGAUAUUCUCCAUAAUUUCAUCGUGCCUUGACAUUGCUGUAUAUAAUUUCUAUACAUCAGGAAGGCAAUUCUGUGUGCAUGUGUGUGUGUAUAUAUAUAGUUAGAAGUUAGAAACUGAAACUCUUUUUUGUCUACCAUCAUUUCAUAUUUUUCUUGCUAUUUCAAACCUAUAAUUUUUAAAGAAACGACUAACGUAAUCAUUCAUAGAAUAUGCUGUCAGUAACUUAACAAUAUAAAUGUUAACAUGGAGGCAUUUAGUUCAGCAUUUGCUUUACUUAAUAGAGUGCAGAAAAUGUGGCCCUUUUCUCAGUUAGGGUGUAUGUGAAGAUAAAUUUAGAAUUUCUAGACUAGUAAAUACUUCUCUGAUAAUAACUUAAUUAUAGCUAUUUCAAACCAAAUUGUUUAAUUGUGGUGAAUCAUAUGUAAAUUGUUCAGAUGUAGGUCAACACCCACGCCCACAUUCUAGCACCUCUUUCCUAAUUCAAGACAACUUUGCAGUGCCUAAAAGAGCUGAACAGUGCAGAUUAGAGACAUAAGACAAAAAAAAAAAAAAAA